rnacentral:pre_miRNA from 1 species
AAAGUACUCCCUCCGUCCCAAAAUUCUUGUCUUAGAUUUGUCUAGAUACGGAUGUAUCAAGUCACAUUUUAGUAUUAGAUACAUUCGUAUCUAGAAAAAUCUAAGACAAGAAAUUUGGGACGGAGGGAGUAGUUG